rnacentral:rRNA from 1 species
UACAGCCAUAUCACGUUGAAACACCAGUUCUCGUUCGAUCAUGGAAGUUAAGUAACGUCGAGUUUGUUCAGUACCUAGAUGGGUGACCGCUUUGGAAUACCAGCUACUGUA